rnacentral:rRNA from 1 species
GACGAACGCUGACGGCGUGCUUAACACAUGCAAGUCGAACGAUGAAGCCGGAGCUUGCUCCGGUGGAUUAGUGGCGAACGGGUGAGUAGCACGUGAGCAAUCUGCCCUUGACUCUGGGAUAACUGCGGGAAACUGUAGCUAAUACCGGAUACGACACCUUGGGGCAUCCUCGGGUGUGGAAAGAAUUUCGGUCAAGGAUGAGCUCGCGGCCUAUCAGUUAGUUGGUGAGGUAAUGGCUCACCAAGGCGACGACGGGUAGCCGGCCUGAGAGGGUGACCGGCCACACUGGAACUGAAACACGGUCCAGGCUCCUACGGGAGGCAGCAGUGGGGAAUAUUGCACAAUGGGCGAAAGCCUGAUGCAGCAACGCCGCGUGAGGGCUGAAGGCCUUCGGGUUGUAAACCUCUUUUAGCAGGGAAGAAGCGAAAGUGACGGUACCUGCAGAAAAAGCACCGGCUAACUACGUGCCAGCAGCCGCCGCGG